rnacentral:piRNA from 1 species
UGACACAUGAGCACCUUCUUCAAGAA